CGGGUGAGUAAUGUAUGGGGAUCUGCCUGAUGGCGGGGGAUAACUACUGGAAACGGUAGCUAAUACCGCAUAACGUCGCAAGACCAAAGAGGGGACCUUAGGGCCUCUUGCCAUCGGAUGUGCCCAGAUGGGAUUAGCUAGUAGGUGGGGUAAUGGCUCACCUAGGCGACGAUCCCUAGCUGGUCUGAGAGGAUGACCAGCCACACUGGAACUGAGACACGGUCCAG
rnacentral:rRNA from 1 species